GGAGAAGCUCUUGAGUCUGUUUCGAUUGAAGUGGGAAAUGGGAUCAGAAUGGAUGAAGAUGGUGGGAAUGCAGCUAUGGUGACUCGAGUCUCCGUUUGGAAAAGAAGAAAUGGUAAGUGUUGGUCCCUGCCAAACUGUGGGUUUUGGUAUGGUGAUUGUAAAAUUCUAGAGGUUGUUAUUGAAUGGAAUGAAAAGUUGGUAUGCUGCUUGAAUGGUUAAUGCUCCUUUAAGUGA